GACGUAGGGCGCGAGCGUUGUCCGGAUUUAUUGGGCGUAAAGAGCUCGUAGGCGGCUUGUCGCGUCGUCCGUGAAAACCCACAGCUCAACUGUGGGCUUGCGGUCGAUACGGGCAGGCUAGAGUUCGGUAGGGGAGACUGGAAUUCCUGGUGUAGCGGUGAAAUGCGCAGAUAUCAGGAGGAACACCAGUGGCGAAGGCGGCACUCUGGGCCGGUACUGACGCUGAGGAGCGGAAGCGUGGGGAGCGAACAGG
rnacentral:rRNA from 1 species